rnacentral:rRNA from 1 species
CUGCUCAGUAACACGUGGAUAACCUACCCUCAGAUCUGGGAUAACUCCGGGAAACUGGAGAUAAUACCGGAUAAUCCGUGAACGCUGGAAUGCCUUACGGUUGAAAGCUUUAGCGUCUGAGGAUGGGUCUGCGGCCGAUUAGGUAGUUGCUGGGGUAACGUCCCAACAAGCCGAUAAUCGGUACGGGUUGUGAGAGCAAGAGCCCGGAGAUGGAUUCUGAGACACGAAUCCAGGUCCUACGGGGCGCAGCAGGCGCGAAAACUUUACACUGCGCGAAAGCGCGAUAAGGGGACCUCGAGUGCGUGCGCAAAGCGUACGCUUUUCAGAUGCCUAAAAAGCAUCUGGAAUAAGGGCCGGGCAAGACCGGUGCCAGCCGCCGCGGUAACACCGGCGGCUCAAGUGGUGGCCGCUAUUAUUGGGCUUAAAGGGUCCGUAGCCGGACCAGUUAGUCCCUUGGGAAAUCUUACGGCUUAACCGUAAGGCUGCCAAUGGAUACUGCUGGUCUUGGGACCGGGAGAGGCAAGAGGUACCUCAGGGGUAGGAGUGAAA